GUGUGUGUUGAUGCUUGUUCAAACAACUUGAAUGAAGUAUGGAGUAGUGAUGCAAUUUUUAUACUUAGAGAUGUGUAUAAUCCAAGCCUUCAGAGAACUCUCACCAUGCUCUUUUAGUCAGCUCUCCCCUCAGGCAGCAAUAGAGCAGUUCUCUGUGAGGUUUGCCUGCUGGACUGAAGGAAACAUGAAGGCUGCUGGUUGAUAAAAAGCAUGGAAUUGGUUUUCGAGGUACAUGUCCCAACUGAAGCUUCUGAAAUGUUUGAUGGAUUCAGAUAAGGAGGUAAUCUUCUUAUACAAUGUAAUUCAGAUAUUCAGCAUAUUUAUUUUUGAAAUUGAACACUAUGGCUUAAUUAGCUACCUUUCUUAAUUAGUCAUACUUAAAAGGUGACCGUGUGUAUUAAAUGAAUUCCUGCUCUUGCUCCCAAGCUCAUGCUUGAUAGGCACUGAUAACAGCUCUUGCAUUUGGAGAUGGCUUGUUAGCAUUGCAGCAGGGAUGUCACAGGCUGACUCAUGGAGGAGAUAUGUGCAUUAACUUGUGAGAGGAUAACUGAGGGCUGAAGUACCUCACUCAAUCCAAAACGAAACAUCUCAUCUAUGCUUAUUUUUAGAUGCCCUGUUUUGUUAGAAAGAUGGAUGUUUCUGCACAAUUUCCAUGUGUUUUGGGGAUUUUCUUAUGCAAAGUCAAAAGCCAUAACUUAAGUUCUGUAUGAAUAGCUGUUUUUACUACAUAUGCUUUAACUUCUUAUUUUUUUCAUUGCAGUGUUUCUAGCAUAGUGUUUAAUGUUAUGUCAUGGGCUGUGUCCUGCAGGUGGAUGGGGUGCUGUGAGUGCACAUGAGCUUGUUUGAGAGAACGUAUUACCUGUGCAACUGAUUUGUCAGGAUAAAAAUAUUAUUGUAUUGUAUUAAUAUAGACAUUCCUGCAGUUUAUUUUAAUUGAUCACCUUUCCUCUCAAAGUAGAACUUAAGCUGGGCAAUAAGUGGUGAAAUACUGAAGUUCUGACCCUGUUACUAAAGCUGCUGCCCAAAGACCUUCCCCCAUCAAUCAGAGUCAUCUGCAGCACCUGAGCUCUAAUUGCUGCACUGAUGCCACCUGGGUGUUGUGUUGCUAACCAUUGGGACAGGAGGCUGGCUGUUCUGCAUCACUUUGAAACUGGCGGAGCUAAUUUCCACCAAAUAAAGGUAUGGCUCAUCACACUUGAAUGCACCAAGGAAGGUUGCACAUUGCCAUGCACAUGUGCUUUGUGUCUCAGUUUUUGUGCAGGCUCUCACUUGCACAGAGGAGCUUUUCUGUGCAGCUGGAAGGUGCCCAGGAGCUACAUGCACAUAUGCACACACAUCCCUGUGCCUGAGGCUUGCAGCAGCUGCUCAGUGACAACAGCAACAAUUUAUAUCAGCUGAAUGGGAAUGUGUUGGCUUUUUCAUAGGAUCCUGCCCUAUUAUAGUUCUCUUUGUUUCUAAGGGAACAACAGCAUCUGACAGUGCUUUGUCAGGAGCAAAUCCCUGCUGGGGGAUGCGUGCAGCACUGCUUACAUCUCCCACUAAGAUAUCUGUCAGAGACCCAGUUUGUUUUUGGCAUGUGUGGGUUUUCUCACGCAAGAUCUAACCUUGGUAUAUGUAUGCUCUGUAUGUGCCUUCACCAGGUGGCUGCCAUAGUUUACUCUUUGUCACAUCCCAAACAUCUCAAAGGUUUUUAUGUUGCUGUGUAUUAAGUAGACAAAAAGUCUCCUUUGCCCACUGGUUAGCAUGGAACACAGGUGGGUAAUAGGCUCAAUAUGCUGCAGCUGUGCUCACUGUGCCCAGCCCAACCCAGUUCGUCCCAGAACACAGAGCUCGUCUGAGCUGCUGCACUCCUCCUGGCUCUGCUGAGGUGGUUGGUUAGUUGGUGCACCCCUAAGUUGGGCUUUGGGCUAUGUGCUCCCCAGUACCAUUGUCAGUCCUUUUGCCUGAAGCUGUUUGCAUCCCACGAAGCGUUGGCUGCAGGAGUGCAAAUAAAGAACUGCAGGAGAGCCAGAAGGCGGCACUGGGACUGUGCGAGCUGAGAGCAGAGCCAUGGAACACACACAGCUCAGAGGGAGCAGCUGAAGGAGAAGAGGAUCCGGGGUCAUAAAUGGAGACCCCACUGCAGGAAGGAAGCGGGGACACAGGACAGCAUGCAGCAGUUUUCAGACG
ensembl:lncRNA